UUUCAAAUGUGAUGUUGGAAUGGCUCAAUCUAAUCAAAAUUUCCAACAUAUUUGGUCCUUUAAUUUGAUUGAGCCGUGCCAAUAUCAUAUUGGCUUCC
rfam:Nicotiana sylvestris Nsyl_contig43633, whole genome shotgun sequence.